AUGGACAAGCUUUUGAGAGCAUCAUUUUUAAUCCUAUGGCUUCAGCUAGGCUGGGUGAGUGGCCAACAGGAGGAGAAAAGCAGCCAACAGCAGGUGAAGCAAAAUCCUCCAUCUUUGAGUGUCCAGGAAGGAGGAACUUCAGUGUUGAACUGUGCUUAUGAGAACAGUGCAUUUGAUUACUUCCCGUGGUACCGGCAAUAUCCUGGUAAAGGUCCUGUACUUUUGAUAGACAUUCGUUCAGUUAAGAAUAAAAACCAACAAGGAAGAUUCACAGUCUUCCUCAACAAAACUGCCAAACACCUCUCUCUGCACAUCGCAUCUUCCCAGCCUGAAGACUCAGCCACCUACUUCUGUGCAGCAAGUGCACAGUACUCUGCAGGCACCUGCAGCCUGUACCCAAACCUGCAACUGGAGUCCAGUCAAACCCUGAUGUUGAGCUUAGACUGGUAG